UACGGGGGGAGCAAGCGUUGUUCGGAUUUACUGGGCGUAAAGGGCGCGUAGGCGGCCUUCUAAGUCGAACGUGAAAUCCCCGGGCUCAACCCGGGAACUGCGUCCGAUACUGGAAGGCUUGAAUCCGGGAGAGGGAUGCGGAAUUCCAGGUGUAGCGGUGAAAUGCGUAGAUAUCUGGAGGAACACCGGUGGCGAAGGCGGCAUCCUGGACCAACACUGACACUGAGGAGCGAAAGCCAGGGGAGCAAACGGG
rnacentral:rRNA from 1 species